CGUACGGGAGCCAGCAGUAGGGAAUAUUGGUCAAUGGAUGAGAUUUUGAACCAGCCAUGCAACGUGCAGGAAGAAGGCCUUUUUUAUAGGAGACUGCUUUUGCCUGGGGAUAAAAUUUGCAUGGGUGCGAUAAUGAAGUUUCCCCCGGGGUAAAA
rnacentral:rRNA from 1 species